GCGUAUCCUGCACAUACCCAGGUUACAUGGGCGGAGGAAUCCAGGCUGGGUACAUGCGAGGACCUAUGGGUGCCAUUGGUGGAUACAGAUACGGUGCAAUAGGCGGAGGAUACCCCAUGCCUUACGGCGGAGGGAUGUACGGGGGCGGAAUGUACGGGGGUGGAAUGUCUGGGGGUGGAAUGUACGGGGGGUACCCCUCAAUGUACGGCGGCGGAAUGUAUGGGGGCGGCGGAAUGUACGGGGGCGGCGGAAUGUACGGGGGUGGAAUGUACGGGGGCGGAAUGUACGGGGGAGGAGGUUAUGGAGGUUACCCUUCAAUGGGCGGCGGUGGAUACAGAUACAAGAAGAACUAUUACUAAGACGUUUUAAGACACUGAGUGACCUCCCUUGAUGACGACCGACUUACAUUUGUUUGUGUUAUGUUAUGUGUAGAAUAUCUUAGAAAAUAAAGCAUUUCUUU
rnacentral:sRNA from 1 species